UCUGCAGUGAAAGCAUAUGGUCAGAAGUUUAAUGUGGUGGGUUUUGUUUCUUUCUUUAAUUAAACUUCUCUAAAGGCCAAUUGCAUCAUCAUUUACUAAAGCUUCUAUUCCUUGUCACAGCCAAAAGCACUUCAACAGCAUGGAUAGGAAGGGGAGGACUGCAGGGAUGAGCUCCAGCUACAGAAACGUGACCUAGUUCUUCUGGGAUCCUCACAAUCACUGUGAGAAACAGAAGUCUUCAAGUUAUGGGAAAUAAAAGGUACUUUUUGAGACAAGAAAAAAAAUUCACAAUGACGUGAGUGGAAAUCCCCCCUCUCCAUAAACAUGAGAACAAUGGGAG